CUAGCGUUGUUCGGAAUUACUGGGCGUAAAGCGCACGUAGGCGGCUUUGUAAGUUAGAGGUGAAAGCCCAGGGCUUAACCCUGGAAUUGCCUUUAAGACUGCAUCGCUAGAAUCGUGGAGAGGUGAGUGGAAUUCCGAGUGUAGAGGUGAAAUUCGUAGAUAUUCGGAAGAACACCAGUGGCGAAGGCGACUCACUGGACACGUAUUGACGCUGAGGUGCGAAAGCGUGGGGAGCAAACAGG
rnacentral:rRNA from 1 species